ensembl:lncRNA
GAAAGAAGGCCAAACCAGCAAAGCUGGGCCAGGGCGAAGGCAACAUCGGGGAAGGGUGGGGCAAGGGAACAGGUGUCAGACAAGUGACAGGGAAUCUGGGCAAGAGACAAGGGGUAAAGGGAUGUGUGACUUAGGGAGAGAGAGACCCAGGAGCCAAGGAGGAAGCAGUUCUUAGUCAUUCUCAGCAUACAUUUAUUGAGUGCUUACUGUGUGCCAGGAAGUAAGCCAGGUGCUACAUACAGCAAAGGGGCAGGAAGAGUCAGGGUCAGCUACUGAGUUGUCAGUGACACUGCAUUGACCCUGGUUAACAUAGGGAACAGAUGGACCCUUCAGGCCCCCACUGUGAGGAUCUGGGCUGGGUCCUAGGACAGGGCCUGCCUAGGCCUUUCCAGCAAUGGAAAGGGAUUCAGCGAGGCAAGCCCCUCUGUGUCUCCUCCAUCCGGGUAGAGGCACACAGAUGAGCUCCUACACACUCCUCUAAACGUGUUCACACCUGACAUGCCAGGGACACAUCUCAGACUUCAACACACGCGCGCAUACACACAAACACACAGAGGCACAGCCAAGCGGUUUUAUGAGGUGGUGCGGAGGUGCCUGCAUGCCAUAAUCUGGGUCAUCCCACACAGCAGGACUGGCCAGAGUGCCUGAACACCCACUGCUUAGAGAUUAUCUUGAGAAGCUUUUUGGCCAAGUCUCUUAGCAAAAUGUGAAAGACAAAAGAAAAGUGAACAAGGGGGCAACUUCUUAAGGCAUGGCUUAGAGAGGGGUUCUGAGAGGGGUAGGAGUCAGCACAAACAGGCCUCACUUCCUUACUUAGCCAUGAGUCUGUCCCUGUCAGAGCUGCCUAAAGUAUGUGUCCUAUGAUAUGGAGUGGGGGGGCGUGGUCCUGUUCCCUGUGUUAUCUGCUCUCCGCCAGGGUCAGAAUGAUGCUAUCAUGUGUUAAGUGCCUAUGAGGUGCCAGGUCUACUACUGUUCGAGUGCUUUAGGUCCAUGGUCACCUAGCUCCACAGUAAGGGUAUUACCUCCAUUUUACAGAUGAGGAAACUGAGGCUCACGACCUGUCCAAGGUCACCAAGAUGGUAUGUGAUGGGGCCUCUCACCUCUGCUCUUCCCGUCAUUGCUUCCUCGGCACAAGGAGAUGGAGCCUCACUCUGGGAAGGGUUGGGGAGCCAGGAGCUGCCAGGGGCCCCAGUUCAGUCUCAAAUCUGCCCAGGAGGCUGAGAAUGACUAACUUCAGAGCUGGACACAUUCGCUGCAGAAACCAAGGGGCACAAAGGGUGGCUCCACGCUGGCAGGCCACCCACGUGGAGGAUGGUGCACCUCCUUCAUGACACUCAGGGAGCUCCAUACUCAGCCCAGGGUGUGGGGUGAGUCAGGAUGUGGAGGGGACAGGCCCACAGAGCCCGCCGGCUUGCCCUGACCCCCACCCCACAGGAGGGCUGCAGCCUGUGGAAAACCAACCCCCUCACUUUGGGGGUCCUCGGCUCCUUAUCCUCCUACUCCCAUGAUCUCUCUUUGGGGGAAAUGGGCUACCACCCUUGAGUUGGGCCUCUGGUAACUGGAACAGAUCAUGUACCUCACUGCCCCAAGAGCCACAAAUUGACCUCGAAGUGCAUCCAAAGCUCCACUGGGAUGAAUGUGUUGGUGCUGCUGUCUGGGACAGUCCUGCACACGUACCCCCGGUACUGAGUGUCCCCCCAUUUUCAGUGUCCUUGGGGUGCAGGGCAGUGUGAUGCCCUCCUCAGACCGCACAGCUGAGGGCCAUGACAGGAGGGCUGGAGCAGAAGUCCUUUUGACCAGGCUGAUACUGGGUACAAGAUGGGAAAGGAGAUGGAACAAAACAGAAAGGAAGCCACAAGGGCCUGCAACCAUCCCCGUGGCCUGCAGGAGGGUCGGAAGCUUUCCAGGCCGUUGCCGCCCUGCUUCCAAGGCCUGGUGGCCCCCGGGGCUGCCGCUCCUAGUGGAAUGUCCUGGUCAAGAGGCCCUGCUGGCUGCUCCAAUGACUUAAGAACCAUAUAUGAGUCCUGGCUCUAACCUUAAGCAAGUCAUUCCACCUCUCUAGGCCUCAGUUUUUCCAGCUGUAAAAUAAGGAUGAUAGUAUCUAUUUAACUCCUGGAUUGUUAUCAUGACUCAAUAAAGAUAAUAGGAAAAUACGUAACCCGUCAACUCUGUACAGUCAGAUGAGAAUGACUGGCCCUUGUCAAGGGGAGGGAGUGCAGGUGGUACCUGAUGCAUCUGGUUCCCUGCUCCCAUUUUUGUGCCUCUAAUCCCCACGCACAGUUGGUCCUAGACUGUUUUCCACCCUGCACUCUGGUUUCUCAAGGCCUUCUUCUUCCCACCAAGUGCCCACACCCUGCCAGUGGGUGGGAGGGAGGCAGCAACUCCCACUCUGGCUGGGCCUGAGCGCAGCUGGAGAUAGCACAGGCUGUGCCUGUACAACCCCAAUGUUUUCCCAGAUGGAAGGGCUCUCCUUGCUAAUCAGCAUUUCCCCAAACCACACUCCUCUUCAUCAUUAGGUCUCAGACUUUGCGGGGAGGGGCACCAGAGUCACCAGGGGAACGCUUAGCAAAAUGUAGACAUUUAUUUCCCUCUGGGUCCAAGGCAAGACCCAAAGUCUACAUUUUUAACAAGCAGCCCAGGAGCUCCUGCUGCAGGUGCUCCCCGGGCCACACGGGGAGGAUGGCUCUGAUGGUUAAAACCAUCCUGCAGAGCAUGCCACACUUCCUCCUGGAGAGCCACAAAGCCCGCAAGCAUGCCGAAAGCACUUGCUGUAAAGAAACCUGCUUGACUUUAACUCAGCAUUUCCCAAACUUGACUAUAAAACUUUUUUCAUAAGUUAGAAUAACCGUUAACAUCUCACAGGACUAGUGUUCUGAGGAAUGGCUUAGGAACUGAUCUAGUUCUCUCUCCUUUUAAAGUUUGUCUUAAGUGUUUUUUGUUUUUAAUGUUUGAGUGGACCGAAGCCUGGGAUGGUGAGAUGUGUGCAAGGUGCUCAACUGCUACUGCAGAGCUUGAAUUUGAGCCUGGGUCUGCCCCUCCCUGUUCUCCGUGCGUCCCCCCACCACAUUCUGCCUCGGUCUCUUUGAGGCCGAGACUCUCCUGAGGUCAGCCAGUGUCCCCGCUCAGGAGCAACCCUCAGGGUUGUUGCCCUGUGACGGGAAAUCUGAGUAGGGGAUGACAGGGGUCAAGACUAGCCUGUUUGCUGGGAUAAGUAGCAGAGGAGGGGGUGGCCCACGCUUUUAGCAUGUCUGCACAAGCCCAGUCUGUUUGGAGGUGAGCUGGGGGAGGUCUUUUCCUGGCCCACUGCCCCUCCCAGGAGGGCAAUCACUCAGAGAGACAGUGAGCGGCUGGGUACAAUGGGGGAUGGACAGCGGCAGGAAGUCUUGUCUUGCCUUUUCUUCUCAAGCUCAAAACAGGCACCUGUAGCCAUUAACUGAUAUGCUAGCAGGGGAUCCCUUACCAGGAGGAAAAAGGAUUUAUUGCUUUAUAAAAAGGAGUCUGAUAAAACUUAAAAGGAAAAAAACAAAACUAUAAACCUAAAAAUCAACCCACCCCUCUCAGCGCUCCCAGGAAGUCUCAAACACAUUUCUGGGGACAGUGAAGGUGGGUAGGUUGGUAAGCCAGGCCGGCCUGGCAGAGAAAGGGUGGCCUCUCCCACUUAAACAGCUCAAGGGCUGCAGAGGAGUCUGCCAGCAGGGGGCACUGUGACUCCACAGCCUCAGACAAGCUCCAGGCUGAGCGGGUCUGGCGCCGGGCGCUGGGCCUGCUGCAGGCCUGGCUGGCUCCUGAGCAGCUCCAGGAGCACAAGGUCAGACACCUACCACCACCCCACACACACCUCACACGUAUCACAUGUACACACACCCCUAAGCCCCUCACAAAUCCACCUCCCUACCCAGGCCUGGACCUCGAUGUCUGUCAGCCACAGCCUCACUUACACCCCGACAAAAACAGCUGUGGGGGGGCUGCCCUAUUGGUGCCCCUUUAAUUCCCUUCAGGUCACUGACUGGACGGAGGGUGGCAGUGGAAACCUGCUCCCCACUUAGGCCCUGAGAGAGGAGAUGAGGGGACUGCUGAUCAGCCUUGUCCAUGGCUCCCUGUGUGACCAUCCAGCCCUCUAUCCCCUCCCCAAGCUUUAAGCCAGGGGGGCUUCUCCGCAGGCCUGUAACGGGAGGACAGGCCAUGGACAGGCGAUGGGGGGCUGGAAUUACAAAGGAGUUAGCACCAACAACAGGAAGCGGGUCCUUCCUUCCUCAGGCAGCCUCAGACUAGCCAGGGGAGGAGGUGAGGGGCCAGGCGAGGGGGGUGCAGACAGUGCAAGCCUUUGUCCUCAGGCAGGCGUGGUCAGUGGGCAUGCAGCCGAGGGGCAGGUGGUGGGCAGUGGAUGACAGACCCCUCUGCUUUGGCAAGAGGCAGAAUCCAGACACUUGAGGAAGAGAGCCUGCCUGCUGGGGGUCCACCUG